rnacentral:rRNA from 1 species
UACGUAGGGUGCAAGCGUUAAUCGGAAUUACUGGGCGUAAAGCGUGCGCAGGCGGUGAUGUAAGACAGGUGUGAAAUCCCCGGGCUUAACCUGGGAACUGCCUUUGUGACUGCAUAGCUAGAGUACGGUAGAGGGGGAUGGAAUUCCGCGUGUAGCAGUGAAAUGCGUAGAUAUGCGGAGGAGCACCGAUGGCGAAGGCAAUCCCCUGGACCUGUACUGACGCUCAUGCACGAAAGCGUGGGGAGCAAACAGG